rnacentral:rRNA from 1 species
GGGUCUUGUACACACCGGCAUAACGCGAAGAACCUUACCCGGGCUUGAAAUGCAGAAGACGAAGGAUGAAAGUUCUUUUCCAGCAAUGGCUUCUGUGUAGGUGCUGCAUGGUUGUCGUCAGCUCGUGCCGUGAGGUGUCGGCUUAAGUGCCAUAACGAGCGCAACCCUUAUCAUUAGUUACUAACAGGUUAAGCUGAGGACUCUAGUGAGACUGCCACCGUAAGGUGCGAGGAAGGUGGGGAUGACGUCAAAUCAGCACGGCCCUUACGUCCGGGGCGACACACGUGUUACAAUGGGGGGUACAGAGGGUUGCUACCUAGCGAUAGGAUGCUAAUCUCUAAAGCCUCUCCCAGUUCGGAUUGGAGUCUGCAACUCGACUCCAUGAAGCUGGAUUCGCUAGUAAUCGCGCAUCAGCCAUGGCGCGGUGAAUACGUUCCCGGGUCUUGUACACACCG